rnacentral:misc_RNA from 1 species
AAGAGAAUUGCUCUGCACAUCCACUUAGAUUUGUAAAAGUUUAUACAAGAUUUUUCUUCAAAGAAAUAAAUAUACAGGAGCAUGCAUGUUAUUUAGCAAAUACAGGUCCAACAUUGAAGAGACUGCUAACAUUAUACUUGUGCAUUAUGGAGAAAAAUACCUUCUAAGCUUAGUAGAACUGCAAGCAAUAGCCACCAUUUAAUUACAAACAUUAUCACCCACUCCCACUAGUU